UGCUGGCUUGUAACCGAGUCGGCUCCUCUUAAAUGCAUUAGCAGGACUUUGUUGCCUCUGCAUAUGGUGUGAUAAUUAUCUACGCCAAACGCAUGCAAUGAUCAUGAGUUCCAGCUCUCUAAUCGUCCUGUUAUAAAGGACAAUUACUUGACCAUUUGACCUCAAAUCAGGUAGGACUACCCGCUGAACUUAAGCAUAUCA
rnacentral:rRNA from 1 species